GUUGAACGCUGGCGGCAUGCCUUACACAUGCAAGUCGAACGGUAACAGGUCUUCGGAUGCUGACGAGUGGCGAACGGGUGAGUAAUACAUCGGACCGUGCCUAGUAGUGGGGGAUAACUACUCGAAAGAGUGGCUAAUACCGCAUGAGAUCUACGGAUGAAAGCAGGGGAUCGCAAGACCUUGUGCUACUAGAGCGGCCGAUGGCAGAUUAGGUAGUUGGUGGGAUAAAAGCUUACCAAGCCGACGAUCUGUAGCUGGUCUGAGAGGACGAUCAGCCACACCGGGACUGAGACACGGCCCAGACUCCUACGGGAGGCAGCAGUGGGGAAUUUUGGACAAUGGGCGCAAGCCUGAUCCAGCAAUGCCGCGUGCAGGAUGAAGGCCUUCGGGUUGUAAACUGCUUUUGUACGGAACGAAAAGCCCUGGGUUAAUACCCUGGGGUCAUGACGGUACCGUAAGAAUAAGCACCGGCUAACUACGUGCCAGCAGCCGCCGUAACAC
rnacentral:rRNA from 1 species